UUCGACCUCACAGAUUGUCGAUGCUGGAUAUAAUGACGCCAGCUGACAGGCAUAGUGAUAUUAUGAAAACAGUGAGAUGCCGCCCCAACGGACGGAACCUUGUCCCGUAAACGCCAUCCAGCGUAUUCUUUCCUUCCCUUUCGGCAUGGUCGUUAGAGGAAUAUGCAGUAGUAACAGUGGCUAUAGUUUGAGAGUCGACAGUGACUAGGCUAACAGAAGCAGCGUUGGGAGUGAUAUCCUCCUUCCUUCUUUCAGACCCGAUGGUGGGCCCAACAGCAGUGGCGAUGGUGGGUUGAGUCGUAACGACGGUGGUCUAUUCUAUCGCGUUCUACGCUGUCCCACGUCCUUCUGUUCGAUCGCGGUUACUCAUGCUCCGUUUGCGACAAACGGCGACUUUUGACGGGGACCGUUGCUAGAGGAGGCUUCUCCGACACGUGAUCCGUACCGUCUCAGCAAACAAUCGUGAUGGUCACCAGAUAAUCGACGACGUGACUCGGAUGUGUCAACCAGCCAUGGAAGAGCGGAGAGCGAAUUAGCAAGACGCGGCAGUGAGCUUCUACGUGCAACACCCUGUUAGAUAGCGGUCAGACAUCGACAAGCUGAAUUUAUCGGCGAGAAACUACUAGAAUUCUACCACCUAUUGCUCACCUACCUUUUUUCGUGGCUUUAACGUGUUACUUUUUUCUUUUGUCUGCCUUACUUCCUUUGCAUUUCUUUAAUUCAGAGAUUGGAGACCCGAUCGAUGCUACUAGUGACAAUACAGAUACUGUGGGACAUACGGCGUUCGUUCUACAAGACGGCAUUGUUUGAAGACGGCUCCGUUUAUACGGGUGUUUAACAUACAUACAUAAAAUAACGUUCCGAGACUAAAAUGACAUUUUCUGCGUCUUCAUUUUCGACGUAAGUGGGGAAAAUUGAGCGAGUGAUUAUCCUGUAAAGUAGCCACAAAACUCUCGAACAUCCGUAGCACUCAUAUGCUUAUGCAGAAGCUUGUUACAAGAGGAAUAUACAUUCUUGUACUAUUUAGAAACGUGUUUCAAUAGACAAUCAAUUGUUGUUUUUGAUGUCACCACCAAGAUAGGACGGACAUGCUUGCACUAACUGUGUCUGUUAGGCCUGUUCUACUUUGACGUAUAACUUAUUAUUACUUCCAUUAAGUUGUCUUUUUACACUGUGUUAAACACAAAGGACACGUUACUAACAUGUGGCAAAAUUUGAGUAAACCUUAUUUGCAACUUAUGUCGUUCUAGCUUAAUCUAAACGAAUUUUCAAAUGUUUAGGUAAAUUUUCUCUUUGCCGAUAGUAUUCGUUCUGUCGUUCAGCGUCGCAGCUGUUCCUAGCCAGUGGUCGAUGUAACUUUUCUGAAACUGAUUAAGUUACAACAAGCGGUGAUCUGAUCAAACCAAUACGUACUCUUCUUCCUCUAAAUUGCAGAUACACCUCUUCUUAUAUCACACACAGCAUUAACCUAGCUAAAAUGAUAAAAUUAAAAAAAAAAUAAAAUAAAAUAAUAGAGUAACUGGUUGGUAAUACAUAGGCUUCUCCACUAGGCUUUAACGCUGAAAAACUCACCAAAGACAUUAUUAAUGGAUAUUACUAGAUGUUAUAGUCGAAAUAUUAGAUGUUUUAAGUUUCUACAUGUCCGAUCUCAAACUAACUACUGCUAAGAAAUAAAAGAAGACAUCGAUACAUUAGAUAUGAUCUAUCCUCGGGGUGGCUUGCCACUGUAGCUAAGUUAAUAUUUGAGGAACACAUGGGCAUAGGAAAGAAAAAUAGCAGUUUAAGUUAAUUUCGAAGUAACGCAUCUCGGUAGAAACACAGCCGGGGGCAAAGAGACUGAAAACGACGAUGCUCUCCAAUGACAGUAUAUGCUACAAUAUCUGUUGACAGGUUGAAAACGCCAGUUCGGUUGAAAUCGACCACAACUUGUAACGCAUAGCAUUGCGCAUUGUUCAGUUAUAAGGAUAAUCGUUUCAACAAUAUAAAAGCAUCUAUUUACCUAAGAAAGCAACUUUCUACGAGAUCCUUGUUAGGUACGCUUCAUCAGAGUUUCAGUUGAUAAGUCCAACAACUACUAUAUUACCCAUUUACCUAAGAAACAAUAAAAGCUUUUUCGAUGAUGACGAUGAUGAUGCGGCUACUCCAUUUUCUGCAAGACAACUUAAAUCGUUAAAAGAAGUUGCGAGAAGCCAGUAUAGUUCAACGGCAGUCGACAUAGUGGUUCAAAACAAGCUUUCGGUUAACCUGCCAGCACCUUAAUUUUCUGAACAGGAAAACAGCGGGCUUCGAGGAUCAUGUCUACAUUAUAACUGAACAGGGCUUGAUCUAAGGACCGUGAUCUAGGUCACGAUGGCCUGGUCCACGGUCUCACUUAGCAUAGGUGUAUGCCAUCUAUCUACAAUCCGACGAUAUUUGGCCGGACCGCCAAUGAAGUCUUAACUAUAAUUAUGCGCAAUAUAAGCGAUAUGAAUGGGUCGUGUCUGAGACAUCAGUAUCUUGCAUCGUCAACACGGAUAAUCGAAUAUUCUACCUUCUUAUGCAAUAAACUCAAAAUCCAACUCGCUUUAGUCGCUAAUACAUGGGACAUCAGCGAGCUAUAUGCUAAAAGUAUUGGCAUUCUAUUUUUGAUAGAACAAUAGCAUUUGUUUUAGAUUAGUGACACCGGUUCGUUCCUGAGACAUCCUGCUACCUGCUAUAACUUCGGUGUCUGUCUUACCGUCACAAAAAAAAUACGCUCAAAAAAUAAUCCUUUCCGCUAGCGGCAGCUCUGGCUCAAUUAGGCCGGCUGCACAACGCGCAGGAUCCUACUAGGACCG